rnacentral:rRNA from 1 species
CCAGCAGCCGCGGUAAUACGUAGGUGGCAAGCGUUAUCCGGGAUUAUUGGGCGUAAGCGCGCGUAGGCGGUUUUUUAAGUCUGAUGUGAAAGCCCACGGCCCUACCGUGGAGGGUCAUUGGAAACUGGAAAACUUGAGUGCACCAUAGGAAAGUGGAAUUCCAUGUGUAGCGGUGAAAUGCGCAGAGAUAUGGAGGAACACCAGUGGCGAAGGCGACUUUCUGGUCUGUAACUGACGCUGAUGUGCGAAAGCGUGGGGAUCAAACAGGAUUAGAUACCCUGGUA